rnacentral:rRNA from 1 species
CGGAGGGUGCAAGCGUUGUCCGGAUUUAUUGGGUUUAAAGGGUGCGUAGGCGGUCUUUUAAGUCAGUGGUGAAAUCCUGCAGCUCAACUGUAGAACAGCCAUUGAUACUGAAAGACUUGAGUACAGACGAGGUAGGCGGAAUUUAUGGUGUAGCGGUGAAAUGCAUAGAUACCAUAAAGAACCCCUAUUGCGAAGGCAGCUUACUAGGCUGUAACUGACGCUGAGGCACGAAAGCGUGGGGAUCAAACAGGAUUAGAUACCCUUGUAGUCCACGCCGUAAACGAUGAUUACUCGAUGUUCGCGACAUACAGUGAGCGUCCAAGCGAAAGCGUUAAGUAAUCCACCUGGGAAGUACGAUCGCAAGAUUG